GACAAUUUAGCUCAGUUGGGAGAGCGUAGCACUGAAGAUGCUAAGGUCCUAGGUUCGAUCCCUGGAAUUGUCA